rnacentral:rRNA from 1 species
CCUACGGGAGGCUGCAGUGGGGAAUAUUGGACAAUGGGGGCAACCCUGAUCCAGCCAUGCCGCGUGUGUGAAGAAGGCCCUCGGGUUGUAAAGCACUUUCAGUGAGGAAGAACGCCUGGUGGUGAAUACCCAUCAGGAAAGACAUCACUCACAGAAGAAGCACCGGCUAACUCCGUGCCAGCAGCCGCGGUAAUACGGAGGGUGCGAGCGUUAAUCGGAAUUACUGGGCGUAAAGCGCGCGUAGGUGGCUGGAUAAGCCGGUUGUGAAAGCCCCGGGCUCAACCUGGGAACGGCAUCCGGAACUGUCAAGCUAGAGUGCAGGAGAGGAAGGUAGAAUUCCCGGUGUAGCGGUGAAAUGCGUAGAGAUCGGGAGGAAUACCAGUGGCGAAGGCGGCCUUCUGGACUGAAACUGACGCUGAGGUGCGAAAGCGUGGGUAGCAAACAGGAUUAGAUACCCGUGUAGUC